UGUAGGCGGGUGCUGGGGUGGGAGUGAGAAGUGAGCAUGCGCAUUGCUUUAGCUGUGUCUGUGGAGGCUGGCGUUUACAACGGUAUCGAUUAUCCUAAUGGGUGCAAGCUUUCAGUGAGGAUUUCAGGGUGUGGCGAGAUCAGGAAAACCUAUGAAUUCCUGAAGAGAGAGGAGUGGAGGUCAAGGAAACAGCCUCUGUACCCCGGAGUCACGCCAUUGGACAAUCUUCGUCACAACUGACUAUGCACCCCAACAGCAGCACCGUUCCCUGUGUUGUGUGCCGAGUGUCACACGAAUCAGACCCUUGACUGUCUUGAAUCGUCUCACUGUAACCAUGGAGGUCUCCAGUACAGGCGGCCUUCCAAAUAUGCUGACAGUGCCACCGAUCAAAAAUGCUGGGGGGGGGGCACGGCAUUUGUGGUGAACACCCGUUUUCCCUAAACGGCAAAGCGUCACCGCCAUGCUCCUUGUGUUGACGCUGUGUUAGGUGCAAUGAACAAUCCAGAGGAGACUUAAGGAAGUCGGGAGAAUGUGCACAGGUCAUACGCAACUGCAGCAUCAUUCUAUAAAACACUGGAGCUGCCACAGAAAUGUCCCAGUGACAGCACCCAGUACGAAGUAGGUGCCUCAUAGGUUCAAGAGCCAAUGCCUUAAUAAUGACACACCACUGUCGCAGGGCAAAGGUCCCUCCAUCUCGCCUCAGCUGAAGCCAUCUUUGGUUUCUACCCGCUGCCCAGAAAAUUCCAGUGGGAAGGCACAGAACCCUGUUCUGGAAACUCAGACAGAAACGUCCCAGCUAACUGCGUGUUCUUGUCUCCUGUUAAUCGGCUUGCUUCCCCCUGCAACCGCCAACCAGCACCUAGCUUUCCCGUGUUGUUUGUCUUUAAAAGUCCCCUCUGCUCAGCAUUUGGGCAUGCUCUGUGGGAAGUGUUUCUCUCCAGGCAGUCACCAGCCUGUGCAAUACAGAUUCUCAACUCGAACUUUGGUCAGGCUGAGUGGUCGUUGGGUCUUCAUCCCAUAACAUUACCACUGAGACUCUUUGAACAGCCACGGUACUAACGGUCAUCAUGCCGGUGACAGCAGUGCCAGUGACGAUGGGAAUUGGAUUAGCCAGGGGUUAUGGCUGGUGUUAAUCUAAUGGUGUCAGUCUAAGUGGUAGAUUCCAGACUCUGCUGCCAACCCCCCUCCACUCUUGGUGGCCUGACACUUAUGUUUGCUUUGAUGCUAAGUAUGCGGUGGUGGUUGGGAGUGUGUCUUCUCAACAAGCAGGACUUGAGGACCUGUCCCCUUCCAUUUUGUGACUGUCGCCUUAACCAAGGAGCUUUUGAAGUCAUUGUGGAAGGGGAAGAGAAAGUGUGGCAAUAGGUCAGAGGCGGUGAGGAGCUCCCUAUUGGCCACAAUUCUCCUGACCUGACUGCGAGGGAGAUCCGGUGGUCUUGCGUGCCCGGGGAAAAGAGGAAACAGGAUUGGGGAGCCAUUGUGCAAGCUGCGGAGGGAGGCUGUAAGCCUGGAGGUCUAUCUGGAAGUCACAGAAUGGAUGGCGGUGCUGCAGAAACAGGGUGGAGACCCCGGGAGUCAAGGAUCAUUUCAGGUCAGCAGCACAGGGCUGCUGUCCAUGGCUCUCCCAUCCUCUGGGGUUUACGUUGGUUAGACUACAAAGAAGUCAUUUGGGAAGCCGACAAUUGGCUAAAGGGCUAGAGCCAGGCAUUUACAAGAAAGGGAGCAGCAUGAGAGAAAACAACGUGUCUAGUGCCAAUCACCUUAGGUGAGAACUUUGGUUUCUUCAUGCAGCCCUGUUUGCCUCCCCCUGGUGGCCACUAUAGGCAAUUGCAGUUCCUUUCUUGGAGAAGAGCAUUGGUAGCUUGAACAAGAUGGUGUUACUCACUAUCUCCUCACUCACCUGAGAAUCCUGACGUCAAACUCCCAGCAGAUGACACACCCUGUUCCAACGACAGCUCUGGUGACAUUUCCUGAGGAAUAACAGUGACACCAAAUCCAGCAUAGAAACCAAGAAAGGUCAUUCGACUGCUCCCUGCCCUUUGGGAUUCGGCCCUCUGACUUUUCCUUCAGCGACACUGACAGAUUCCCUCCCCCUUUCUGUGCCAUUGUUUCUUGGGGAGUCAUAUCACAAAACAACGGUGACGACUGCACUUUAAGCGCCUUUGUUGACUUCCCACAAUCUAGUCCAUUCUAGCUGCAUCUCCUAGGCCUACCGUGCGCAUUGAAACAUGGUUUUAAUGCAUCUGAAAACCUGACAUGCGCAUGUCAGGAAACGGAGGCACAUCGAGCCUGUGUGAUUUGCAGAGAGCGCCAUUGCUUGUUUGUGGCAGACCCUGUGCUAGGGUGGUAAGACACUUUCCUCACACCGUACUGUACCAGUCGUGACCAUGACUGUGCGGGACGGCGUUUUAAAACACCCCCGGCCAUUCCGGCCCAGAUGGCCUGUAUCGUUCGCACUGGUGAUCUCUGGCAUAGCAGAGAAGCACUGAAUUGCCCCUCCUCAAGGCUCAGGGAUCUCUGCAGAAGAGGGAGCAGAUGUAUCGUAGCAACCAGAGAUGGCGGAUGACUUCGAGGGAGCUGUUUUCCAGACACCACAGGGAAGAUGCUCAUUUGAGCUCGCAGCAAUUGUGACAACACGGUACAUGUGAUGUGACAACUUCUUCGAGCUCCUACUUCCUUGAUUUCCCUGUCAUAAUGGACCACACCUUUGAAUUGUGAGCCAGAAUAAAGCCUUUCUUCCUUAA